AGGGAAUAUUGGACAAUGGGGGCAACCCUGAUCCAGCCAUGCCGCGUGAGUGAGGAAGGCCCUCGGGUUGUAAGGCUCUUUUGUCCGGAAAGAAAAGCUUCGGGUUAAUACCCCGGGGUUCUGACGGUACCGGAAGAAUAAGCUCCGUCUAACUACGUGCCAGCAGCCGCGGUAAUACGUAGGGAGCACGCGUUGUUCGGAUUUACUGGGCGUAAAGGGCGCGUAGGCGGCGCGGUAAGUCACUUGUGAAAUCUCUGAGCUUAACUAAGAACGGCCAAGUGAUACUGCUGUCCUAGAGUGCGGAAGAGGCAACCGGAAUUCUUGAUGUAGCGGUGAAAUGCGUAGAUAUCAAGAGGAACACCUGAGGCGAAGGCGGGUUGCUGGGCCGACACUGACGCUGAUGCGCGAAAG
rnacentral:rRNA from 1 species